rnacentral:rRNA from 1 species
CCCAGACUCCUACGGGAGGCAGCAGUGGGGAAUAUUGCACAAUGGGGGGAACCCUGAUGCAGCGACGCCGCGUGAGUGAAGAAGUAUCUCGGUACGUAAAGCUCUAUCAGCAGGGAAGAAAAUGACGGUACCUGACUAAGAAGCCCCGGCUAACUACGUGCCAGCAGCCGCGGUAAUACGUAGGGGGCAAGCGUUAUCCGGAUUUACUGGGUGUAAAGGGAGCGUAGACGGCACUGCAAGUCCGGAGUGAAAGCCCAAGGCUUAACCAUGGGACUGCUCUGGAAACUGUACGGCUGGAGUGCAGGAGAGGUAAGUGGAAUUCCUAGUGUAGCGGUGAAAUGCGUAGAUAUUAGGAGGAACACCAGUGGCGAAGGCGGCUUACUGGACUGUAACUGACGUUGAGGCUCGAAAGCGUGGGGAGCAAACAGGAUUAGAUACCCUCGUAC